CGGGAAGUAGCUCAGCUUGGUAGAGCACUUGGUUUGGGACCAAGGAGUCGCAGGUUCGAAUCCUGUCUUCCCGA
rnacentral:tRNA from 3 species